ACUGCUCAGUAACACGUGGACAACCUGCCCUUAGGUUGGGUAUAAACCCGGGAAACUGGGUAUAAUACCCGAUAGGUCUCGAUUGCUGGAAUGCAUCGAGAUUUAAAGCUCCGGCGCCUAAGGAUGGGUCUGCGGCCUAUCAGGUAGUAGUGGGUGUAGCGUACCUACUAGCCUACGACGGGUACGGGUUGUGAGAGCAAGAGCCCGGAGAUGGAUUCUGAGACACGAAUCCAGGCCCUACGGGGUGCAGCAGGCGCGAAAACUUUACAAUGCUGGCAACAGCGAUAAGGGAACCUCGAGUGCCAGGUUACAAAUCUGGCUGUCGAGAUGCCUAAAAAGCAUUUCAUAGCAAGGGCCGGGCAAGACCGGUGCCAGCCGCCGCGGUAACACCGGCGGCUCGAGUGGUAACCGUUAUUAUUGGGUCUAAAGGGUCUGUAGCCGGCCGGAUAAGUCUCUUGAGAAAUCUGGCAGCUUAACUGUCAGGCUUUCAGGAGAUACUGUCUGGCUCGAGGCCGGGAGAGGUGAGAGGUACUUCAGGGGUAGGGGUGAAAUCUUGUAAUCCUUGAAGGACCACCAGUGGCGAAGGCGUCUCACCAGAACGGACCUGACGGCAAGGGACGAAAGCUAGGGGCACGAACCGGAUUAGAUACCCGGGUAGUCCUAGCCGUAAACGAUACUCGCUAGGUGUCGGCCACGGUGCGACCGUUGUCGGUGCCGUAGGGAUGCCGUGAAGCGAGCCACCUGGGAAGUACGGCCGCAAGGCUGAAACUUAAAGGAAUUGGCGGGGGAGCAC
rnacentral:rRNA from 1 species